UACGGAGGGAGCUAGCGUUAUUCGGAAUUACUGGGCGUAAAGAGCUCGUAGGCGGUCUGUCGCGUCUGCUGUGAAAACCUGGGGCUUAACCCCGGGCUUGCAGUGGGUACGGGCAGACUAGAGUGCGGUAGGGGAGACUGGAAUUCCUGGUGUAGCGGUGAAAUGCGCAGAUAUCAGGAGGAACACCGGUGGCGAAGGCGGGUCUCUGGGCCGUAACUGACGCUGAGGAGCGAAAGCAUGGGUAGCGAACAGG
rnacentral:rRNA from 1 species